GUUGCUGCUCCUGGCUCUUCCCUUCAAGGUGCGCCUGCGUGAUAUCCUGACUGUGCCUCCUCCGGCACCCUAACGGAGGCUGCGCGCGCACACUGCCUCAUCUCGGACUCUGGCGGACGCCUCCUGUUGCUGCGCACGCGCCUUCCCAACACGCACUGGAGUUGCGCGCGCAUGCGCGCGCCCCUCCCCGAUCUUUCGACUCUCGGUAGCUCACAAUUUGGCAGCGCUGCGGCACAUGCGCCGUUCUCCUUCGGUUCCCCUAAGCUAUGGUGGCUCACUAUUUAGCAACGGGCUGCCGUUGUCGCAGUGCCAUUUGAACAGCCAGUAUGGAAAGAGGGGCAGUUCGGAGCGGAUCUCUUACUCCCAGACAGCUGGAGUCUGCCCGGUGGGCUACGGUGACCAGACGGCCAAGUGGUGUUCACUGGAGCAGCAGGAACAAGACCUCUAGAGAGAAGGAUUUUAAAACGACACUCUUAUCUGCCUAUCGCUCUUCCCUAAAGGCGUCCCUGUCUCCUGCCCGUAAUGCGGGCAGGCCUGACUUCUUCAGCCGCCCCCAGCAGGUCCGUGUGUCUCCCUCCGAACGAUUACCAUCCUCCUCUUCAGUGAAUGGAGAGAACAGCUAGAUGAAAGCUGAAGGCCAGCUAAGACAGAGUCUACAAUAUUGUAGAGAAGGAUAAUUGGACAAAGGACUUGGAAAUAGAGAACAGGAGGUAGGAAGACCUGAAUGAACAAAAAGAGAAAGGGGGCUUAAACAGAGAGCCAUUAAUCAGGAUUAAAAAAGGACAAGCUACAGAAGAGGUGCUGAUGGAGAGAAGAUUGCAAGCUGUACAAGUUGGGUAUAUUAGUGAAAACUAGAACCGCUCUCACUGCUUCACCAACCAUGUUCUGGAGACCCAUUCUCCUAGGGAGAGAUGGGAUUUCUCUUUUCAAUAUUGUCACUCAAUUUGCUACACUGCACCAAACUCAGAUGGAAGAAACAAAGACUGACACUUUCCUUUGGAGUAUGGUGGAGGAGAAAUGUUAGUUAUAAUAUUUCUACAUGCUGAGAAGGCUGCAAGGUUGCAGAGAACAAGGCUUUCCAAGAACAACCGGAAGACUGCUUUGAAAUAAAGUACCUUUCACCAACACAAAACCUUGGAACGACUUAUGCUUCAACAGCCCAGUACUUACCAGGAGGAGUUCUCCAUAGCCAAAGAUGUGGUCCUCACCAUCACCU